AUUAGCUAGUUGGUGAGGUAACGGCUCACCAAGGCUCCGAUCGGUAUCCGGCCUGAGAGGGCGAACGGACACACUGAGACUGAGACACGGCCCAGACUCCUACGGGAGGCAGCAGUGGGGAAUUGUUCGCAAUGGGCGCAAGCCUGACGACGCAACGCCGCGUGGAGGAUGAAGACUUUCGGGUCGUAAACGGCUAACUCCGUGCCAGCAGCCGCGGUAAUACGGGGGGGGCAACCGUUGUUCGGAAUUACUGGGCGUAAAGGGCUCGUAGGCGGCCAACUAAGUCAGACGUGAAAUCCCUCAGCUUAACUGGGGAACUGCGUCUGAAACUGGAUGGCUUGGAUUCGGGAGAGGGAUGCGGAAUUCCAGGUGUAGCGGUGAAAUGCGUAGAUAUCUGGAGGAACACCGGUGGCGAAGGCGGCAUCCUGGACGGAGAUUGACGCUGAGGAGCGAAAGCUAGGGGAGCAAACGGGAUUAGAUACCCCGGUAGUCCUAGCCCUAAACGAUGAAUGCUUGGUGUGGCGGGUAUCGAUCCCUGCCGUGCCGAAGCUAACGCAUUAAGCAUUCCGCCUGGGG
rnacentral:rRNA from 1 species